UACGUAGGUGGCAAGCGUUGUUCGGAAUUAUUGGGCGUAAAGGGCGCGUAGGCGGCUUGUUAAGUCGGCUGUGAAAGCCCGGGGCUCAACCCCGGAGGGUCAGCCGAUACUGGCAGGCUAGAGUACGGAAGAGGUAGCUGGAAUUCCCGGUGUAGCGGUGAAAUGCGUAGAUAUCAGGAGGAACACCAAUAGCGAAGGCAGCUCGCUGGGACGUUACUGACACUGAGGCGCGAAAGCGUGGGGAGCGAACAGG
rnacentral:rRNA from 1 species